GCGGCCUGGGUCUCGGAGGGCGGCGGCCCGUGCUCCGCUUUCUCCCGAGGGGCUGCGCUUCGGCCUUUGUGGGGCGGGGGCGUCCCGGCGGCUGGGGCAGGAUGGGGGGGCCGCUGACGUCCGCGAGGGCGGGGCGCGCUUGUUUUCGCGGCCGCGGGCGUUUGGCCGGAGGUUCGGGGCGGGCGGGCGAGCGAGCGAGCGAGCGAGCGGCCGCGGCGUUAGGCCUGGAGGGGCCGCUUGUGGGCUCCCGGUGCGAGCAUCUCCCGACGGACCCGAGCUCCGGGCCGCCGCACGCGCCGGCCCUGGCCGGCUUUUUGUUUUCGUCCUUCCUCGCCCGCGCGCCCGCCGUGCUCAGGGAAGCGCCCGGCUCGCCUCGGCUCGGCUCGGCUCGGCUGCGGAGCUGCGCCUCCCCGGGAUCCGAGGCGCGGCGGGGCCCACGGAGACCGGGGCCGGGUAUUGUGUCCAGGAGGCCAGAAGAGGGCAUCAGAGCCCCCAAAGCCGGAAUAAAAAGGUGGUGACCUCCAGGCCAACCAGGACUGAAUAGAUGCGUUUACAGACACACACACACAGCCCCCAUCGCAUCGCCUCUCAGAGAACCGUGACUGCUGAAUGGCUCCAUCCGCAGCUGUUUGAGGCGCUCCCCCGACGGACAGUGAGCCCUUGGGACACCCGGAGCGCUGGGAGCCUGGGCCUUCCUUCCCCAGCAGGGCCUGCUCCUACCCCGUGGAUAGCCUGAAGGAACCUGACUGGGAAAGUAAAACUACUACUUCUAUGCUGACUAAACUUGACUGCUGAUGCGCUUUGAACUCAGGCGUGAUCACAGUGGCGCGGGUUUCUCUUAAACGAG
rnacentral:lncRNA from 1 species